AUACGUAGGGUGCAAGCGUUAAUCGGAAUUACUGGGCGUAAAGCGUGCGCAGGCGGUUUUGUAAGACAGUGGUGAAAUCCCCGGGCUCAACCUGGGAACUGCCAUUGUUACUGCAAGGCUGGAGUGCGGCAGAGGGGGAUGGAAUUCCGCGUGUAGAAGUGAAAUGCGUAGAUAUGCGGAGGAACACCGAUGGCGAAGGCAAUCCCCUGGGCCUGCACUGACGCUCAUGCACGAAAGCGUGGGGAGCAAACAGGAUUAGAUACCCUGGUAGUCCACGCCCUAAACGAUGUCAACUGGUUGUUGGGGAUUUAUUUUCUCAGUAACGAAGCUAACGCGUGAAGUUGACCGCCUGGGGAGUACGGCCGCAAGGUUAAAACUCAAAGGAAUUGACGGGG
rnacentral:rRNA from 1 species